rnacentral:rRNA from 1 species
AUGGAGCUGGACAAAGCCUACUGCUUGUUCUGCCGGGGGCUCUCGCCUUACGGCCCUUUCUGGGAGCACUGCCUGGAGUACUGGAAGGCAAGCUUGGCGACGCCGGACAAGGUUCUUUUCUUGAAGUACGAAGAGAUCAAGGAAGACUCUGUGGGAGUCGCGCGGAAGCUCGCGGUGUUCCUCGGCGUCCCGUUCAGCCAGGAGGAGGAAAGCUCUGGUGUCCCGGAAGAGGUGGCGAGGCUCUGCAGCUUUGAGACACUGACGAGCCUACAGGUUAACCAGUUAAGUGUUGUCAAUGAUCACGGAGAUCACAGGUUUCCUGCUAAUUCAGCCUUCUUUAGAAAAGGACAAGUUGGGGACUGGGCGAACCACAUAAGCCGAGAAAUGGGGGAAAAGAUGGAUCAGAUCACCAAAGAAAAGCUCAAGGGAUCUGGACUCGCCUUCUGA